rnacentral:rRNA from 1 species
AUUGAACGCUGGCGGCAGGCCUAACACAUGCAAGUCGAACGAGUGGCGGACGGGUGAGUAAUGUCUGGGAAACUGCCUGAUGGAGGGGGAUAACUACUGGAAACGGUAGCUAAUACCGCAUACCAUCAGAUGUGCCCAGGUGGGCGUAGCUAGUUGGUGGGGUAAUGGCUAACCGAGGCGACGAUCCCUAGCUGGUCUGAGAGGAUGACAGGCCACACUGGAACUGAGACACGGUCCAGACUCCUACGGGAGGCAGCAGUGGGUAAUAUUGCACAAUGGGCGCAAGCCUGAUGCAGCCAUGCCGCGUGUAUGAAGAAGGCCUUCGGGUUGUAAAGCACUUUCAGCGAGGAGGCGUUACUCGCAGAAGAAGCACCGGCUAACUCCGUGCCAGCAGCCGCGGUAAUAC